rnacentral:rRNA from 1 species
UACGGAGGGUGCAAGCGUUAUCCGGAAUUAUUGGGUUUAAAGGGUGCGUAGGUGGUCUUUUAAGUCAGAGGUGAAAUGUUUAGGCUCAACCUGAAAAUUGCCUUUGAUACUAUUGGACUUGAAUUUUGUGGAGGUAAGCGGAAUAUGACAUGUAGCGGUGAAAUGCAUAGAUAUGUCAUAGAACACCGAUUGCGAAGGCAGCUUACUACACAAAUAUUGACACUAAUGCACGAAAGCGUGGGUAGCGAACAGG